UACGAAGGGGGCUAGCGUUGUUCGGAAUUACUGGGCGUAAAGCGCGUGUAGGCGGGUCUUUAAGUCAGGGGUGAAAUGCCAGGGCUCAACCUUGGAACUGCCUUUGAUACUGGGGACCUUGAGUCCGGGAGAGGUGAGUGGAAUUGCGAGUGUAGAGGUGAAAUUCGUAGAUAUUCGCAAGAACACCAGUGGCGAAGGCGGCUCACUGGCCCGGAACUGACGCUGAGGCGCGAAAGCUAGGGGAGCAAACAGG
rnacentral:rRNA from 1 species